GAUGAACGCUGGCGGCGUGCCUAAUACAUGCAGGUCGAGCGAAUGGAUUAAGAGCUUGCUCUUAUGAAGUUAGCGGCGGACGGGUGAGUAACACGUGGGUAACCUGCCCAUAAGACUGGGAUAACUCCGGGAAACCGGGGCUAAUACCGGAUAACAUUUUGAACCGCAUGGUUCGAAAUUGAAAGGCGGCUUCGGCUGUCACUUAUGGAUGGACCCGGGUCGCAUUAGCUAGUUGGUGAGGUAACGGCUCACCAAGGCAAUGAUGCGUAGCCGACCUGAGAGGGUGAUCGGCCACACUGGGACUGAGACACGGCCCAGACUCCUACGGGAGGCAGCAGUAGGGAAUCUUCCGCAAUGGACGAAAGUCUGACGGAGCAACGCCGCGUGAGUGAUGAAGGCUUUCGGGUCGUAAAACUCUGUUGUUAGGGAAGAACAAGUGCUAGUUGAAUAAGCUGGCACCUUGACGGUACCUAACCAGAAAGCCACGGCUAACUACGUGCCAGCCGCCGCGGUAA
rnacentral:rRNA from 1 species